AGACAGCAGUCGCCGCGGUAAUACGUAGGGUGCGAGCGUUGUCCGGAAUUACUGGGCGUAAAGAGCUCGUAGGCGGUUUGUCGCGUCGUCUGUGAAAUUCUGCAGCUUAACUGUAGGCGUGCAGGCGAUACGGGCAGACUUGAGUACUACAGGGGAGACUGGAAUUCCUGGUGUAGCGGUGAAAUGCGCAGAUAUCAGGAGGAACACCGGUGGCGAAGGCGGGUCUCUGGGUAGUAACUGACGCUGAGGAGCGAAAGCGUGGGUAGCGAACAGGAUUAGAUACCCGCGUAGUCCCUGUCUCUUAUAC
rnacentral:rRNA from 1 species